UACAAGAAGACCAGGAUCGGAGACUUUUGGGCCGAGUUCUUUAUGCAUCCGUUAGAAGAGAACACCGAGGACGAGGAGGAAGCCAGAUCGAUGGAAUUCACCGGCUUUUGGGGUAUCAAAGCCAGAACUCCGUCCCCCGCCAAUGGCGACGCCAUCCCCACCCACCGACCAAAUCUUCCCCCAACUAGGGUUUGGAUUUCUCCCGGACCCUAAUCGACCAACCUCCAGAGCUCCAAGGUUUCAAUCUCUUCUCUCUCUCCUCUCACUCUCACUCUCACUCUCUCUCUCUAUAUAUAUAUAUAUUUACUUCUCGACGAGGAACGGAGACGGAGCGGGUGAAGGAGGCAAGAGCGAUUCCGCAG
rnacentral:lncRNA from 1 species